UAGAUUAAAGCUUGUUGUUUAUAGCGCUUAGCUGUUAACUAAAAAUUUGUAGGAUAAAAGCCUUCUAAUCUAG
rnacentral:tRNA from 1 species